rnacentral:rRNA from 1 species
GUGUCAGCCGCCGCGGUAAUACAGAGGGUGCGAGCGUUGUCCGGAAUCACUGGGCGUAAAGGGCGCGUAGGUGGCGCGACAAGUCAGUGGUGAAAGCUCGACGCUCAACGUCGAGUCGGCCACUGAUACUGUUGGGCUUGAGCACUGUAGAGGCUAAUGGAAUUCCGGGUGUAGCGGUGGAAUGCGUAGAGAUCCGGAAGAACACCGGUGGCGAAGGCGGUUAGCUGGGCAGUUGCUGACACUGAGGCGCGACAGCGUGGGGAGCAAACAGGAUUAGAUACCCCCGUAGUCC